GACUGGAUGGUGUAUUGGCAACACGUCUGUACAGAGUGCCCAUAGUCCCAUCAUACCAUGCAUCACACAGAAGAUCCCUGUUCGAAUCAGGGUCCGGUCA